GCCUGGGUGGCUCAGUCGGUUGAGCGUCCGACUUCAGCUCAGGUCAUGAUCUCGCGGUUUGUGGGUUCGAGCCCCACGUCAGACU
rnacentral:tRNA from 1 species